rnacentral:rRNA from 1 species
GAUGAACGCUGGCGGCGUGCCUAAUACAUGCAAGUCGAGCGAACAGACGAGGAGCUUGCUCCUUUGACGUUAGCGGCGGACGGGUGAGUAACACGUGGAUAACCUACCUAUAAGACUGGGAUAACUUCGGGAAACCGGAGCUAAUACCGGAUAACAUGUUGAACCGCAUGGUUCAACAGUGAAAGACGGUCUUGCUGUCACUUAUAGAUGGAUCCGCGCCGCAUUAGCUAGUUGGUCAGGUAACGGCUUACCAAGGCAACGAUGCGUAGCCGACCUGAGAGGGGGAGCGGCCACCCUGGAACUGAGACACGGUCCAGACUCCUACGGGAGGCAGCAGUAGGGAAUCUUCCGCAAAGGGCGAAAGCCUGACGGAGCAACGCCGCGUGAGUGAAGAAGGUCUUCGGAUCGUAAAACUCUGUUAUUAGGGAAGAACAAAUGUGUAAGUAACUAUGCACGUCUUGACGGUACCUAAUCAGAAAGCCACGGCUAACUACGUG